GACGAACGCUGGCGGCGUGCUUAACACAUGCAAGUCGAACGGGCAGGCCCUGCUUUUGUGGGGUGCUCGAGUGGCGAACGGGUGAGUAACACGUGAGUAACCUGCCCUUGACUUUGGGAUAACUUCAGGAAACUGGGGCUCAUACCGGAUAGGAGCUCCUGCUGCAUGGUGGGGGUUGGAAAGAUUCGGCGGUUUGGGAUGGACUCGAGGCUUAUCAGCUGGUUGGUGAGGUAGUGGCUUACCAAGGCUUUGACGGGUAGCCGGCCUGAGAGGGUGACCGGCGACAUUGGGACUGAGGGACGGCCCAGACUCCUACGGGAGGCAGCAGUGGGGAAUAUUGCACAAUGGGGGGAAGCCUGAUGCAGCAACGCCGCGUGCGGGAUGACGGCCUUCGGGUUGUAAACCUCUUUGGCCUGUGACGAAGCGUGAGUGACGGUAAUGGGUAAAGAAGCACCGGCUAACUACGUG
rnacentral:rRNA from 1 species